UACGAAGGGCCCGAGCGUUAAGCGGAGUUACUGGGCUUAAAGGGUGCGUAGGCGGACGUGUAAGUGUCCUGUGAAAGCCCACGGCUCAACCGUGGAACCGCAGGGCAUACUGCACGUCUUGAGGCCAGUAGGGGUUGCCGGAACUCUAGGUGUAGCGGUGAAAUGCGUAGAUAUCUAGAGGAACGCCGAUGGUGAAGACGGGCAACUGGGCUGGUACUGACACUGAGGCACGAAAGCGUGGGGAGCAAACAGG
rnacentral:misc_RNA from 1 species